rnacentral:rRNA from 1 species
UACGUAGGGUGCGAGCGUUGUCCGGAAUUAUUGGGCGUAAAGAGCUCGUAGGCGGUCUGUCGCGUCGGUCGUGAAAACUUGGGGCUUAACCCUGAGCUUGCGGUCGAUACGGGCAUGACUGGAGUUCGGCAGGGGAGACUGGAAUUCCUGGUGUAGCGGUGAAAUGCGCAGAUAUCAGGAGAAACACCGGUGGCGAAGGCGGGUCUCUGGGAC